UUAAGAGUGCCAGAGUAGAGUUGAUGGGGUUGGUUUAGGACCUUCUAACGGUUUGUACCCUCUUGCG
rnacentral:tRNA from 1 species